rnacentral:tRNA from 1 species
AACUUUAUAUUCAAAAAUGAUAUUAGACUGCAAUUCUAAAGGUAUAAUGAAAAUUAUUUAAGUUU